UACGUAGGGGCCUAGCGUUGUCCGGAAUUAUUGGGCGUAAAGAGCUCGUAGGCGGUUUGUCGCGUCUGGUGUGAAAAUCCAGGGCUUAACCCUGGACCUGCAUCGGGUACGGGCAGACUAGAGUGCGGUAGGGGAGAUCGGAAUUCCUGGUGUAGCGGUGAAAUGCGCAGAUAUCAGGAGGAACACCGGUGGCGAAGGCGGAUCUCUGGGCCGUAACUGACGCUGAGGAGCGAAAGCAUGGGGGAGCGAACAGG
rnacentral:rRNA from 1 species